CAUUACAGAGUUCCUGCCCUCACGGGUAGAAACCCCACCCUUGUGUAUAUUAUAUUGUUGCUUUAGCAGGUCGCCCUCUGGGGCGUCGGCCUCGGCUGACUGUGCCUGCUAGAGGACCCUAAACUUUGAAAUACAGUGUCGUCUGAGUACUAUUUAAUAGUUAAAACUUUCAACAACGGAUCUCUUGGUUCUGGCAUCGAUGAAGAACGCAGCGAAAUGCGAUAAGUAAUGUGAAUUGCAGAAUUCAGUGAAUCAUCGAAUCUUUGAACGCACAUUGCGCCCCUUGGUAUUCCGGGGGGCAUGCCUGUUCGAGCGUCAUUUAGACCAACUCCCGCUCCGGCGGGGUCUUGGGCUGCGCCUUUGGGCGGGCCUUAAAACCAGUGGCGGUGCCCUAAGGCUCUACGCGUAGUAAUUCUUCUCGCGAUAGGGUCCUUGCGGUGUCCUGCCAGCAACCCCCAACUCUCUAGGGUGACCUCGGAU
rnacentral:rRNA from 1 species